rnacentral:rRNA from 1 species
ACGCUGGCGGCAUGCCUAACACAUGCAAGUCGAACGGUAACAGGUCUUCGGAUGCUGACGAGUGGCGCACGGGUGAGUAACGCGUGGAUAUCUGCCUAUGAGUGGGGGACAACUUUCGGAAACGAAAGCUAAUACCGCAUAAUCUCUACGGAGCAAAGCAGGGGACCUUUCGGGGCCUUGGGGUUAAUAGAUGAGUCCGCGUCAGAUUAGCUAGUUGGUGGGGUAAGAGCCUACCAAGGCGAUGAUCUGUAGCUGGUUUGAGAGGAUGAUCAGUCACACUGGAACUGAGACACGGUCCAGACUCCUACGGGAGGCAGCAGUGGGGAAUUUUGCACAAUGGGGGAAACCCUGAUGCAGCGAUGCCGCGUGUGGGAAGAAGGCCUUUGGGUUGUAAACCACUUUCAAUUGGGAAGAAGGGAUGAGGAUUAAUAAUCCUCUGACUUGACGGUACCUUUAGAAGAAGCACCGGCUAAUUUCGUGCCAGCAGCCGCGGUAAUACGAAAGGUGCAAGCGUUGUUCGGAUUUACUGGGCGUAAAGAGAUCGUAGGUGGUUUGUUAAGUUGGAUGUGAAAUCCCGGGGCUCAACCUCGGAACUGCAUCCAAAACUGGCAGACUUGAGUUCGGGAGGGGUAAGCGGAAUUCCGUGUGUAGCAGUGAAAUGCGUAGAUAUACGGAGGAACACCUGAGGCGAAGGCGGCUUACUGGACCGAUACUGACACUGAGGAUCGAAAGCGUGGGUAGCAAACAGGAUUAGAUACCCUGGUAGUCCACGCCCUAAACGAUGUCAACUAGCCGUUGCGGGUAUCGACCCCUGCAGUGGCGCAGCUAACGCGAUAAGUUGACCGCCUGGGGAGUAC